UUAGCUAUUUUUCGAUACACACCUUACUGAUUUCUGAAGCAAACACCACGACAAGAAUUUCGUAACCUAAAUUCCAUAUUCACCACGCUCAAAUAGCAACAAAACCCAAAAUUAAAUCAUUAAACGACCAAAAUCGCUACCAAUAAACCUUAUCAAACGAGAAUCAACCUUUCGACAUCCGAUUACUUACCUAGAAUAGUAGCG
rnacentral:lncRNA from 1 species